rnacentral:rRNA from 1 species
UACGGAGGGAGCUAGCGUUGUUCGGAAUUACUGGGCGUAAAGCGCACGUAGGCGGCUAUUCAAGUAGGGGGUGAAAUCCCAGAGCUCAACUCUGGAACUGCCUUCUAAACUGCAAGCCUGGAGGUCAGGAGAGGCGAGUGGAAUACCGAGUGUAGAGGUGAAAUUCGUAGAUAUUCGGUGGAACACCAGUGGCGAAGGCGACUCGCUGGACUGAUACUGACGCUGAGGUGCGAAAGCGUGGGGAGCAAACAGG